rnacentral:rRNA from 1 species
AGUUGGUGGAGUGAUUUGUCUGGUUAAUUCCGUUAACGAACGAGACCUUGACCUGCUAAAUAGUCGGCUGAAUCACCGGUUCGCGCACGACUUCUUAGAGGGACGCCGCGUGUCUAACGCGAGGAAGUGCGAGGCAAUAACAGG